rnacentral:lncRNA from 1 species
GGUAGAAAAAUGGCUCUGCUGAGAUGAGCUCUUAAUUAAUGCACUGAGAGCCUGCAAGUCCCACCUCUCAACAGGAAUGAUUGACGUCCAAGGAUACAUAAAUUACACUAACUGAGCUCUGCCUCUAUAUAAGCUUUCCACAUCCAACUCAUCAGAGAAGCUAGGCUUGUACCAUAACCAAUACCCCUGCUUGGCAACUCUAAUGAGCAAACUGCCGCAAAAUUGAGAGAGAACACACCUUUUUGAUUUCCUGCUCUUCUAAGACACAGUGAUUUAGAAUUUCUGUUCAAGCAAGAGAACUAAAGACUUCUUUAAAGAAGAGAAGCUACCAGUCUGACCCUGACUCAGGCCUCCGGAAGAAACCACUCGCUAAUCACAGUCUGUCUUGCACCCAGACACGGCAUCUCAGACACUGCACAAAUUAAGAAGUCACCCUCAAAACCUCUA